UACGGAGGGUGCAAGCGUUAUCCGGAUUCAUUGGGUUUAAAGGGUGCGCAGGCGGGCUUGUAAGUCAGUGGUGAAAUCUUGCCGCUUAACGGUAAAAUUGCCAUUGAUACUGCAGGUCUUGAGUAUGGUUGAGGUAGGUGGAAUGUGUUGUGUAGCGGUGAAAUGCAUAGAUAUGACACAGAACGCCAAUUGCGAAGGCAACUUACUAAGCCAUUACUGACGCUGAGGCACGAAAGCGUGGGGAGCGAACAGG
rnacentral:rRNA from 1 species